ACGAGGCCUCAGAAAUAAGGUGUGUGCUUUGCCUGCUACCUGGGCACCCUGACCGUCCCUGCCCCGCGGCGGGCGGCCGGGCUGACGCCCUCUCCUGGGACGGGGUCCGGGGACGUGCGAUGCCCACAGGGACACGCCUGAGUCAGGCCCCGCUUCAUCCUGGGGCCUCGCCAGUGAAGCCGAUACAGCCUACCCGCGGAGUCGUCCCCAGGGCUCACCCAUCUCGGGGACAAGGACUAGAGCUUCAAAACCAUCACCUCUGGGUCUUAAGUGACAGAAUGGGACCAGCUUUCCUGUUUUAGACCAGCAGCCACUGGUCGGGCCACCUGAGGGAGACCAGGCCAGCGGCCCAGACAGGAAAAGGGAAGUCAGAGCCGCCCGCAGCACAGAGCGUGUCCUCGGUGUCCCCGGUGAUCAGGCUGCUCCGAGUUCAUGGUGCCACCUUGUCUUUGCUACCGGACGUGGGAGAGACGCCGGUCCUGGCCUCACGGGGACGAAGAAGGAAUCUCACGGACAACAGAACCCUCCAGCACAACGUUGAAUUAGAAGUGAUGGGAGUAGGCGCCCAUAGGAAUUCUUCCUAAAAUCAAG